CGUUAGCUCAGUUGGUUAGAGCGCUAGCCUGUCACGCUAGAGGUCACGAGUUCAAGUCUCGUAC
rnacentral:tRNA from 1 species